rnacentral:lncRNA from 1 species
GGUGACUAUUUAGAUUCUACGUCGCGACAGAUCACGGUAAGAACUUCAAACUUUAUUUACUAAUUAAGUUAUUACAGGAUCUAAUUUUUAUAUUAGAACUAAUAUAUUUAUGAACUGUACAGAUGUGUUACGUGACGUAUGUUGCUAAGAGAUAUGACGAUGACCCAUCUUCUCAACCCCCCUUGAUCUUGAGGGAUGGCUCAGUGCCAUCAGAGGGGUGAGUAGGAGUCGGGUCAUAGUAUUUGGCCACAACUUCGACCCUCCAUUGGCUUGAUAUCCUUCGAUGUCCUCAUAAGCCUCGACA